rnacentral:rRNA from 1 species
UGGUGGAGUGAUUUGUCUGGUUAAUUCCGUUAACGAACGAGACCUCAGCCUGCUUUUGUAGUCGGCCGUAUCCCCUCGCGGGGUACGCGUUCCAACUUCUUAGAGGGACUAUCGAUGUGCAGUCGAUGGAAGUUUGAGGCAAUAACA